UAGACAAGACUACUGACCUUCUGGCU
rnacentral:piRNA from 1 species